AGUAGCUCAGUUGGUAGAGCAGGAAAAACAGUCUCUUUUCGUUAGUUACCUUGCUUUAUGAUAAAAUUGGAUAAGUGCCGUAGAAAAGAGUUACUUCGGUCCAAUGGCAGGUUCAAAUCCUGCUUCCGA
rnacentral:tRNA from 1 species